GGGGGCGUCCCGGUUUCGACGGGGCAUCCGGCGAUCGAGGAGCACGCCGAGCAGGCCGUUCGACUCGUAAAACCGACGGCGAAACAAAGCUGCCAACGACAGCGAACUCGCUCUCGCGGCUUAAUUAGCCACGACGGUCGCCGGGGGGCCCGCCUGGAGCACCUCGGCGGUCGACGCGAAAGCCAGGCUGGACCCCCUCCCGCCGCCUGAAGGAAGGGGUCGAGACGUUCAGGAUCGCCGCCGCGUUCGGACGCCCGGACCCGAAGGCGUGGUGGCUAAACAAACAAGCACGGGCUGAGCGUGGAGAGCCUCGACGUCAGGGUACUUCGGACGGGGGUUCGACUCCCCCCGCCUCCACCA
rnacentral:tmRNA from 2 species